CCAAAAUCCAAAGCUUUGGUUUUUCUAACCGAUCUAGACAGCUUUUCAUUCAAUCUAUAUAGAAGGACAUCUGAGUUUGUCCGUCUAGGUAUGGUAAGUUUGAUUCAAGUUUACCCCUGCAACAGAGUUAAUUAGUAGUCAAACCAUAGUUGGGCUUUAUAUUUAGGUUAGGAGAAAUGGGUGGGUUUAAGAAACUGAUUGGAAUAUGGGUAGUCUAUGGGGAAGAGAUGGUUUUUCUCUCUAUCAGAAGUACUUCACCUAGGUUAAACACCCUCCAGAGCUGAAAUUGAUGGAGAAGCUGUAAUUCAAUUAUUUGUUCCAGACCCUAAUUAUGCAGUAUAGGAAUAUGUUGCAUGAGGUUGCCGAAGCAUACCUAAUGAAUUUGGCCGAAUUUGACAAGGAAAAAUGUUGCUGCACCAUGGUUUCUAUCCAAGAAGGAAGCAUAUUUAGUGGAUAUAACUGAUGAAGGUUGUUGCCUUUUUAUCCCUUCUGAGGUAAGCUUGUGAGAUGCUUUUGUGUGUAAAGUUGUGUUUAGAGUAGUUGAACACAUGUUGCUUCUGGUUCCUCUAAGGUUUGACUCUACCCGUAAGGUUUGGUUUUGGUUCCUCUAAAGGAAAAUGUUGUUGUAUUAUGGUUUCUGUCCAAGUAGGUAUUCUUUAGUCCACCAAUCUUGUGCAGAGUUUCUUUUGCAAUUGAUAUUAGUGAACGGAAAGCAUAAUCCAUGGUAUUUCUUCUGCUUCCUACAGAUCGGUGAAGCUAUAUCAUUUAAUUUAUCUUCUUUAUAGGAAGCAUGUUUAGUGGAUAUAGAUGAUCUAGUUUUUAAACUUCCUUACGCUUUUUGAUGUAUCUUAAACUGCAUUUUUAUUAACGUGGUUAUAUGCUUGGUGGCAAUUCAUCUUCCCUUUUGCUCUUCGGUAGUAUAAUUAGUGUAAUAAUUACAUAUGUUAAGUGAUUUUUUCACUUCAAUCUUCGGACCUACUGAAUUGGUUCUUGAAAUCUAGGUAAAACAGGGAAUACUGGUGCCUAUCAUACAGUCCAACAUGUGUGCAUAGUGUUUCAGAUAGUAAUUAAAAAAAUGGGUACCUCUGUAAAACUGUCACAUAAAAUAAAUUGGGUAACUCUCUAACAAGGUCGCAUAAAAUACAUUGGUUGCCUCUCUAACACGGCCGCAUAAAUUAUAAUGGGCAUCUUAUUUUUCAGGGUAAAUAAUGAUGGGUAACUAACAACAUGAUCAAACAUGUUUGAUUUUUUCGGGGGUUAUGUGUAAGAAAUUGCAUC